rnacentral:tRNA from 1 species
GGAGGCGUAGUCUAACUGGUAAGGCACCGCACUCGAAAUGCGGCGGGCGCAAGCCCUUGGGGGUUCGAGUCCCUCCGCCUCCG